rnacentral:rRNA from 1 species
UAGCGCAAUCAAUUGGCUCUUAAAUGGGGUCAGGAAUGAAUGGAGUUUAACGUGGUUAAGCUGUCUCUUAACUAGUUAAUUGAAGUUACUAUGUAGGUGAAAAAGCCUAUUGUAAGAAAAAGGACGAGAAGACCCUUAGAGUUUUACUUAAUGUGGGAGAUACUAAAGUAUCCAUACUGGUUUUGUUGGGGCAACAUAGGAGCAAUAGUUAUAAUCUCCUAAACUAUAAUGGACCGAAAUUUAUAAAUGUGAAUAAACUACCUUAGGGAUAACAGCAUAAUUUUAAAAAUAAGUUUGUGACCUCGAUGUUGGACUAGGAAACUUAAAGGCUAGCCGUCUUUAAGGAAAGUUCUGUUCGAACUAUUAUUCCU